rnacentral:rRNA from 1 species
UAAUACGUAGGGGGCGAGCGUUAUCCGGAUUCAUUGGGCGUAAAGCGCUCGUAGGCGGCCCGUCUGGUCGGGAGUCAAAGCCCGGGGCUCAACCCCGGCCCGCUCCCGAUACCGGCGGGCUUGAGUCGCGCAGGGGAGGCCGGAAUUCCGAGUGUAGCGGUGGAAUGCGCAGAUAUUCGGAAGAACACCGGUGGCGAAGGCGGACCUCUGGGCGCGCACUGACGCUGAGGAGCGAAAGCUGGGGGAGCGAACAGGAUUAGAUACCCUGGUAGUCCCAGCCGUAAACGAUGGGCACUAGGUGUGGGGGGACGAGCCCCCCGUGCCGAAGCUAACGCAUUAAGUGCCCCGCCUGGGGAGUACGGCCGCAAGGCUAAA